AAGAGAUAUGAUGAUAAUUAUCCCAAAUGUUCUGUUAUUGAUGAUGAAACAAACAUGCACUACCAUCUGAUCUCUU
rfam:Medicago truncatula strain A17 chromosome 1, whole genome shotgun sequence.